UGGUGUGGUUUCUGGACUUCUUAAAUGCAGU
rnacentral:piRNA from 1 species